AGCAUUGGAGAGGAAGAAAGGAAUUAGUGCUGUCAGCGGCAGGUCAGUUUGUCUUAAAACCUUUCAAAUUGUGGAAAGGGCUGAGAAAUGUGUUUCCUGGGGCAGGAGGGAGUGGGCUGAGGGGGUUGUGCACCUCUGGGAUUGCCUGUGCAGGCAACUGCUCAGUGUGUGGAGCAUUCCAGAGGUGUGGGCCUAAUGCCAGGGAAGCCUCAAAGAGAGGUGAGCCUGUGGCCACCAAGCAGGCAGGGUGAGGCCAGAAACGGACAGAUGGGAAGUACACAGGCCCAGAUAUAGGCUGCAGAGUAGGUGAGCCCUGGGCCAUUCUGCUAAGUGAGAGAAGCCAGGUUCCCAGAACACAGAGUGAGGGAUCCCCUUGAUAGGAAAUUUCAGAACAGGAGAAUUCAGGACAAGAAGUAGAUGAGUGCUUGUCCAGGGGUGGGGAUAGAGAGGCCUUCUAGUAAAUAUUCAGGCCCUUUGGGGCUGACAAGGUGGGAAGUUUCACUACAGGGAGAGCUGUGUGUGUUUCCAGCUGAAGCAAAACUCACUGGAUGCAGCAAAUGAUGUGUGAAUCAUGUCUCGACAGAUACAACUUCAUGCAUUUGCCAGAGUGGUUUGUGUGACUUUACAGAUAUGCUAAAACCUACUGAACAUAAUUGACACAUGAAUCAUAUUCUAAUAAGAUAUUUUACACACACACACACACACACACACACACACACACACACACACACACACAGCAAGAGACCCUUUGUGCAGGAGCAGCUUGCAAGAAGCAGCUCCAAGAAAUUCCCCUGGUGCAAUAUACUUAUUGCAAAGUGGAGACAGGCCCAGAAGGCAGUGUGACCUGCUUUCUUUCUUUUUGCUGCCACUUGGGGCCAGGGAAAUGUGGUGUGAGUUGCUGAGAUCUCAUGCUUAUAGGCACUGUGUGUAAAUCCUGUACCAGACAAACUCCACUAACACUAACACCUGUACUAAGUCACCCUUGAUUGAUCUCAGCCCUAAGGACCCAGCUUCAUUACUUUCAGUACACACACACACACACACACACACACACACACACACAAAUAACAACAACAAAAUAUUCAGCAUAGUAUGCAAAACCAAUGGCAAAUACCUCAUGUAAAACAAUAUGUUGGAGACGGACCUGUAGGUUUUCGUGAAGCUGGACACUAAGGCACGCUACGUUAGCUAAGUGGCAACUUUCCUGAGUUCCAAUGUUAGAUGCCUUCAUUGAUUAAUAUUAAAUUAAUGUGCAGAACUUUUUGUUUGCUCAUUUGUUUUUUGAAAUAGAUUUUCACUUAGCACAGGCUGCUCAACUCACAACAUAGCUGAGGUUGGUCUAGAACUCCUAAUCCUCCUACUUCAAUCUUCUAAACAAUUAGGAUUACAAGAUGUAAGCCACUGCAUCUUGUGGUGCUUAGAAUUGUUGUGUAAGCAUUCUUUCUCUCCCUUUCUCUUUGUCUCUUUCUCUGUGGCUCUGUCUGUGUCUGUUUGUCUGUGUCUGAGCACAUGCAUGCAUGUUUGUGUGUCUGUAUGUCUGUGUGUGUGUCUGUGUUUAUGUCUUCUUUUGUAUACACGUGCAUGUGUGCAGCUGCAAGAGGCCAGUCUGUCAAUGUUGAAUGCCUUCCGCUAUUGCAGUUCACCUGGCUUUUGAGCCCGAGUUUCUCACGGAAUGGAAUGGGAAAUAUAGAUGGCCAGAGAGCUCUGAUCAUCCACCUGUCUCUGCGCCACGGCACCUGACUUUUCCCUAGGUGCUGAGGAUGAAAACUCGGCUGAACUAGUUAAAGGCUUACUUAGCACGCAAGCAGAAGAACCUCUCCUCACGCCUGUGCUCAUAAUUGGAAGAGAACUAAAUUUACCUAUCAUUGAGUCUUUAUAAUGAUCAGAGCCACUGUUCUCACUCUGUGCUCUAAAGAUGAGAGAAGUUAAUGGCCUGGAGGUCAUGGGGCCAGCAGUGGGUGGGGCCCAACUAGAGCCCCGGUCUGCACAAGUUCCAACCCUACCCUUCAUCCCAAAGCUGCCCAGGCCAGGAUACUAUUUGCUUGUGGUCUGAUUUUGUUCAGAGAUGGCUGCGUCCCAGGCAUCCGAGUUUACUGAAAUGUUCUAAGAGUUAUUGGGAGAAAUGAAGCUUUGAACUUGCCUAAUAUAACACGGGCUGGUUCUCAGGAUCAUAAACAUGUUUCUGAACCUAAUUAAAGAGUCCUAUGAAAAGAACAGGGGCCCGACUGAGACAUGACGGUCGGUCUAAAAACUCCCCGUGAGCCAGGACGGGAGCUUUGCUGUUCCCAGACAAGGGAGGACUGGCCCUCUCUGGGGGCAGAGAGUUAAGAGCUUUCCAGAGAAGAAAAAGCUCUUUUACAGUCCUGGCUGGGGACCUGGGCAGAACUGGGGAGGGAAUGUAGGAGGCAUAAUUGGGGCUUGUAAAACAUUUCCAGACAAAAUCACUUAAUGUGUUUGGAGAAUAAAAAGCAACAGUCCACAUAAUCCUUCCAUUUGGACAGUUUGCUAGAAAGUCAUGAGAGCUGGAUGGAGGAUGUAGAAAGAUGGCCAGCUAGGGUGCACAGUGGUGGAUGCCCCGGGCACUCUCUACUCUGGGCACAGGAUUGUGGAGAAGCAGAAUAUUGGCUUUGAAUCUCUGUGCUAUCCCUUGCUCAGCGUGUGACCUUGGACAAGUGAUUUAUCCUGCUCAACCUGUUUCCUCAUAUGGCAAAUGAGGAUAAAAUUGUAUUCAUAGUGGGCUGGGGAGAUGGCUCAGACAAUAAAGAGCUUGUCAUGAGAGCUUGAGGGCUUAAAUUCAACACCCCAAACCCAUCUUUAAUAUAAGAAUUGAGUGGUGGUGUAGAGUUGUAAUCCUAGCACUGUGAGCCCACCCAAACAGAAGGAUCAAGAGACUUGCUGGUCAGUCAGUCUAGCCUAGCUGGUGACUUCCAGGUCUUCGAGAGAUCGUGUCUCAAAAGUAAAGAGAGGCAGUGUCUAGGGUUGUCUUCUUGUCUUCACAUGCACGUGCACAAAAGUGCAGGUGCACCCACACACACGAUCAUACACACUCACACAGUAGUACCUAGUUCAUGGCUAUGUUGGGAGAGUUAAGCACUCUGUCUUGGACUGGGGAAGGGAAUGCUCAUGGAGACGUUUGCUCCUUUAAUUCAGCUCUGUGGACAUGAGCUGGUCCCAGGAAGAGCACUGUUGCAUUUCCUUUGGACUAGGUCACCCUGGGAAGCAUUCCAGAGCUCUCAGAAAGUCUUUAUGGAUUCUUUCUCUAUUCCAUUUCUCUAUUUUACUCUAUUUUUCUCUAUUUUCCCUGGCUUCCUUCCUUCUAGAGUGGUUACCCCAGUCCAUUCCAACAGCCCCCUUACAAUGCACUUUUUGACCUUAUUCCUGUCUUCUUCCCCACAUCCCGAUAAUGUUCCACUUCUUUUAAGAGAACAUUCAAACUUCUGGGUCCUCUAGACCCUCUUUAUAUUUCUGAGCGGCAUCUAACCCUGUGCUUGUUGUUCAAGGCAAAGGCUUCCCCUUUCUUUUCCUUCUGAAAAAAAGGCGAGUAUUUGCACUUCCCAACUCCCUACUGCUCAGCCAGACAAGUAGCAGCUGUGGUCAAGGGGUCAAGGACCGAGAUGAACACUUUUCCCCCUAUGAACAACUGGGAUAUGGUCUCCAUCAGAUCUUCACUAACUUCUACAGAGAAAAGCACUCCCAGUUCAGCCUCCUGUACUCACCAAGUGCUGGGGCUGUAUGGACCCCGCCCACCAGGCAGACUUUACCUCCAUGUUGGGAGGUUGAGGAUGACCUCUGAGAUCCUUACUAAUCCUGAAGUUUCCUUCAAUUCUGCUCCCUUCCCCUGUUGGAGACCGCUAGUCAGAUAAAUUGAGAGAAGGCAGAACUUUUCCCUAACAGUUAUGAAAAGAAAGGCUUGGCUUUAUAAGCAGUCUGACGCAUAGAAGUUUCUGACUCAUUUAAGGCGGAAGAGAUUAAAUGCAUUUUAGAAGGUAACCACAUAAAUCAAUGGUGUCUUAGAGGCCAGUGGAAGAAUUUCAAAGAAAAAUAGGGGUCAGCCAAUUUUUGUUGAUAGUCACUGAAUGGAGGGGCCACCUGGAUGGUUAACAUAGGACAUUCUCUUCGAACACCCUUUUUCAAGUAAGCUUACAACCACAGGAUCCAGGUAUUUGGAUGUGAAAAUAUCUUUUUUCCUGUUCUGGACACCCAGCCUUCUGCUUUGUAUAUGGUAAGUCCUAGCCCCCAUGUUUUUGACACUGUACUACCUGGGUCUCAGGCUGACUUGGAACUUGAGACCCUCCCUCCCUAACUUCCUUAGUGAUGGAAAUAUAACUAAAAAGAGAUAGCCCCCCUUAACACUUUUUUUUCUGGUGAAGAGGAAACAGCAGGAUGAAUAGGCCAAUGUAGGUUUUUCAAAUUUAUGUCCAAUAGAUUUCUGACUAUCAUAUCUGCUCUGCCUGGUCACCUCACAGCACUUAGAAUAACAUUUGGUGGAAACUAGUGCUGAAUAAACACUCGUUAAUUAAUUGAAAUUCUAAAUUAGUCAAGACUAAACUUGUGCUAUGCUCAGAAAAAGAUUGAACACUGAAGGAAAAAUGAGCACUUCUGUGAGUUCUUUCAGUCUGUCUAAAGAGGCAUGAGUUGAUGAAUGUUUCCGUUCUUGAUUAAAAUGAUUAAGGGUCCUUAUGAAACUGUAGCCUUGGAAGCCUUCCAAAGAGAGGCUUCCUCAAAAGGAUUAGAAAGGAAGAAACAGAAGAGGCAACUUUCCCUUGCCUAGUGUAGUUACAAGCAAACUCACUGGGUUAAAGUCCAUCUCUGUAACUUGCCAGUCAAAUGGUCCUAGAAAGUCAUGUCAGCUUUUUGGUGGGUGAAUACAAUCAAAUGUUUAUCUUGUUGUAUUUUAAAAGACAAAGAGAUGACAGUAACAAUAGUGCCACAUGCAUGGAAAAAGCUCUUCCAAUUGUUUUGUAGAUAUUAAAUUAUUCAUACCUCAAAACUAUGAGGGAGGUAUUAUUGUUGACCCCAUUUCCUAGAGCUGAGACCAAGUAUCAUUGUAUAGUAUUAAGGUUUGAACUCAAGAUCUGUGGCUCCAGACGUACCUUCUUAGCCUCUGCACUCUAUUAAUUAUAUUUCUUAGGACUUCCCUAGGGUAAUAAGACACAGUAAGUGAUGGAGAAUAGGGACUUAAAAAGAGGAAUUAGGGUUGCUGUAACUGCUGACACUAAACAUUGUCCAUGCACACUGUGUAAGGCGUUGGACUUGACUUUAGCAGACCCAGGAAGAAAAGACGUGGAGCAAGAACAAGAUCAUGCUAGAACAAGCAAGGAAUACAAUGGGACCAGCCUGAUCCUCACAGCCUCCUUCCUUAUGAUGAGAGUUACCUGCAGUGUCACUUCACUCUGGAACCACAUCUGUAUCCAGCCUAGGUUGAAGAAAGUGAAGAAAGAAAUGAAGAUACCAUUGUAGCAUCCAGGGAAAGGACUCCUGGGAAAUGCAGUCAAGCUCAGCUGGGUGGCCACAGUGUAGUCUUUCCAUGACCAGAAGUAGGCAGAAGAAUCAUGAGACUAUUAGUUAUAUGUUGGGUCUUGAUAAAGGUUGGGUCUUCACUUUCCUUCUGUGCUUAUUGGAUGAGUGGUAGAUGAGUGUGCCCAUCUGGAAAUGUGAUAUCAAUAAGUUUUGGAAGAUCAGCUCAGCAGGAAAUCUAGGCUCCUCAUAAUUUCUCCCCAUUGCCCCCUCCCCUCAACAUCACCCCCUCCCAAUACUUCAAGUAUGUAGAGGAUACUUUGAGACAAGUCUUGUAGAAACACAUCCUCCUUCACUCCUUGCCCCCUUCUAGUCAGAAGUCAAAAAGAUACCUCUGCUGGGUGAGGGCUGCCACAGAGCAGUAAAACUGGGGAUUAGAUGGUCAGGAGGUUAAUCCUUGCCUGUUCCUCCUCUCGGAGGGCAGUAGAAUAUGAUGAUUGGAGCUUGCAUGAUCUGCUGAUUAGCAUUUCCAUGCAAUCAGGACCUGACAACAUUCUGGUUGCUCUUAUCUGAUUCAAAAAAGAAAUGCUGGAGAUUAGUCUUCAAAGGGCUGAGUUACAUCCUGGGGAAUCAACCAUAGUGCACAGGGGCAGCUGAGAGAUGGAGGGACUUAAUGCAGUGGAAUGGGAAGAGUGGCUAUGGUGGUGCGCUGGUUGUUCUUGUCCGCUUGACACAAACCUAGCUCUAAUUGAGAAGAGGGAACGUCAGCUGAGAAAAUGCCUCCAUACUACUGGCCUGUAAAUAAGUGGAUGGGACUUUUUUUUGACUGACGGUUGAUGUAUAGCCCAGUAUGAGUGAUAAUACCCCUGGGUAGGUGGUCCUCGGCUGUAUAAUACACAACCCAUGUGGAGCAAGCUGGUAGGCAUUGUUCUUAAAUGGCUUCUGCUUCUGUUCCUGUCUCCAGGUCUCUGCUUUGAGUUCUUGGCUUGACUUACUUCAGUAAUAGAGUGGGACCUCAGAGUUAUAAGCUAACUCUGAGAAUUGUAAACCCUUUCCUCCCCAAGUUGCUUUUGGCCAUGAUGCGUUAUCACUGCAAUAGAGACCCUAACUCAGACAGGUAAGGAUGAAGGACUGCACAGUAGGGACCUUGAAACUGAGAGCCAGGUAGUUGUGAGUUUGAGACUGAGUAAAGUGGAGAGGAGCAGCAAGCAUCCUGUGUGAGAGGCCCAGAACUCAGGCUGCCUUAGGAAGAGUGGGUAUAGUGUGAAGGUGGAUCAGGUCAGCAAUGAAAUACAUGCACAUAAGAACAUCCUCACUCCUGGAGAAUAAGAAAGGGCACAGAAUUCCAUGUAAGUGAGUAUGGUUUCUUAUAUAUUGCACCACUUACAUACUUCAAGCACACUGGAAACACCCCUCAGGUGUCUUUCUCUAUCAUUCUGUUCCAUGUAGGCUCAUGCAUUUGGACACUCAGAGGUGGCACUAUGCAAAGUGUGGUCUUGCUGGAGCAAACACAUCACUGGGGUUGGGAUUUGAUUUUACAUCCUUGCCUCAUGUCCAGUGUGCUCUCUUCCUCAGGGUUGUGGUCGAAGAUGUGGGCUCUCAGCUUCCUAAUCCUGUUGCCCUCCCAGCUUGCUGCCAUGCUUCCCCACCAUGAUGGACUUUAACCCUCUGGAACUGUAAACCCAAAUAAAUGCUUCCAUUUACAACAGUGGUUCUCAACCUGGGGGUCUCGACACCCCCCCCCCCAGUAUCCUGCAUAUCAGAUGUUUACAUUAAGAUUCAUAAUGGUAACAAAAUUAUAGUUAAAAAGUAGCAAUGAAAAUAACUUCAUGGUUAGGGUUAUCACAACAUGAGGAACUGUUAAUUAAAGGGUCACAGCAUUAGGAGGGUUGAGACUACAUAAAUUACCUCAAUCAUGGUAUUUUAUCACAGCCAAGGAAAGUAGCUAACAGUCAUCUCAGAAGUGCUGAAGUUGUUUCAGAGCAGUUGGGUGACUCCAAACCUCUGUUCUAGCAGAAGGUAAAGCUGAGAUUUUUUUAACCCCGGCCUGUCCAGUCUCAAAGCUCUUACUCUCUUCCACCUAAAAGGACUGUAGAAUGGCUGGAAUUUUUAACUUUGGAGCCUUUGAAUGUUGUUUUUAGCUUUGAACAUCUAUGAGAUUUUGGAGAAUUUGGUAUUAAACAAAAUGUUUUCAAAUGUUUAACUGAGUUUCUUACGGUCUUUGAGAGUCUGGGACGUUUCUUUAGAAAUGAAGCAAUGCUUCGGGGCUGACUCAUUAUAGCUUUUCCUCUUGGAGGUUUUCAAUCCCAGAUUCAAAGCAAAAUGUUAACAAUAAACUGGCUUUCUAGAAAUCAA